rnacentral:rRNA from 1 species
AGCUCCAAUAGCGUAUAUUAAAGUUGUUGCAGUUAAAAGCUCGUAGUUGGAUUUCUGGUAGAAGGAUCGAGCGCACCUGCGUGAUGCUCGCGUCUUCUGCCAUCCUUCUGUUAACCUUUCUCGGCAUUGACUUGUCGGCUAGGGGCUCAGAUAUUUUACCUUGAGAAAAUUAGAGUGUUUCAGGCAGGCUUAUGCCCGGAUACAUUAGCAUGGAAUAAUGGAACAGGACUUCGCUUCUUCUGUUGGUUUGAGGGGUUGAAGUAAUGAUUAAUAGGGAUAGUUGGGGGCAUUAGUACUUAACUGUCAGAGGUGAAAUUCUCGGAUUUGUUAAAGACUAACUUAUGCGAAAGCAUUUGCCAAGGAUGUUUUCA